CCUCGCGCUCCCAACUGUCUCCUAGCCAAGCCAACUGUCAUUAUUUGGGCGACCAUCCAGGACACCUAGCCAUGCUGUGCUUUCUGCUUCUGCUCACAGGGCUCGUCGGGAUCCAGACAGACUACAAUUCUGAAAGACUACGUGUGCAAAUUAUGAUUCCAAAGAAAAUAAGGUCUAUGACAACUGGAGGAGUUGAAUCACAUCUAUCCUACAACAUUACAAUUGAUGGGAAAAUAUACACCCUGAACUUAAUGCAAAAAUAGUCAAAGGCAGACAGAAGAGUAC